UCCUGAAAAAGAGCAAGGGUCCCAUAGGU
rnacentral:piRNA from 1 species